CUACUGUUUCAGUAUAGUUGUACUGCGCUGUUUUAUUUUCAGCUCCUAUCCUUCAACCUUCCCUUGUAUUCAGGGAGUUAAAGAUGGAAGGUUUCAUAGUGAGACGCUGGCUAGACAGAUGGGAUGAAGGAAUCAACUACAACUUACAGUUGAUCAAAGAGGGUAAAUUGGUACACCCUGAGACUGUGACUGAGGGAUUUGACAACAUUGCAAAAGCAUUCAUAGGAAUGCUACGAGGAGAAAAUGUGGGAAAAGCUGUUGUGAAGGCUUGAAACUCCAGUUCAUACAGAGACAUGUGUUAUUUGUUUUCCAGGUCAAGUUUCAAAUGAAGCUGAAAGUAAUGGUUUUGUACAAAUUAUGUGACUAACAUAUUGGGUUUGAUUUUGAUCACUAGCCUGGUAUAAAUUCUUUCAUCCACAGAUGAACUAUGAAUUUACAUGCUUAUUAUGAUAAAAACAUAAAAUUUAAAAAGUUGAAUUUGCACUUGCAUGCACAGGUUAAAAACAGGAAGUGCAAUUUAGUUAUUCCUUCUGUAUUAUCUCUUGAAAUAUACAAUACUGGUGAAAUGGGAUAUUUCUAUAAAAUAAAAAUACAUUCAUUCACCUCGAUGUGAAAUACAUCUUGAA